rnacentral:lncRNA from 1 species
AAACCCCUGGCCUAGGAGAAGAUGAGAAAAAAUUCAAUCCAGUGUCUUCUUUGUACGAAGCACCUUGCAUGCUGCACUCUAUGGGAAUCAACUCAAUAACAUUUGUUGAGUUGAACUGAGUUCCAGAUGUUGAGCUAGUUGGACAUUAACUGAAAGAAUUAAACACUAAGAGUGAGUUGAUUUCCACUUAAUUGAACUUUCUACUUAACUAAAAAUUAACAGGAGAAGUUUGAUGUGUGUAAUUCAGUCCUUGCUGAGAAGUGUUCUUGUUGAAUUGGGGAGACUGUAAUUGACAUGUCAGCUCUUCCGCUGAGCUCGAGUGAGUUUCCUUGAGGCCCAGAUCCACAUCCGACUCACCUUGCUGAGCAGACUCACAGUCUGGCACAUUUCAGGGGUUGAAUUAUUUGUUGAAUGAAAGAGUUGGUUAUUCUAUUUCUUCCUACAGAGCUAUUCAUUGAAUGCCUAACUUUUGCUGGAUUUUCAACAAAGAGGACUAAAAUUAUUUCUGGAUAGUUCUCAAAGAGAAAAUUCAGACCCCCCACCAAGCUCUUAAUUGCUUCAGUGUUAUAAUAAUUGCGUCUUAAAGAAAAGACUGAGAUUUUUGAUCAGAAAUACUUGAAGAAGAUGGAAUUAGGAAGUAUCUUGAGGACAGAGACCACAGAUGCAGAAUUCAUACACUAUCCUUCAACAAAAA